AUUGAACGCUGGCGGCAGGCCUAACACAUGCAAGUCGAACGAGUGGCGGACGGGUGAGUAAUGUCUGGGAAACUGCCCGAUGGAGGGGGAUAACUACUGGAAACGGUAGCUAAUACCGCAUACCAUCGGAUGUGCCCAGAUGGGAUUAGCUGGUGGGUGGGGUAACGGCUCACCUAGGCGACGAGCCCUAGCUGGUUUGCGAGGAUGACAAGCCACACUGGAACGGAGACACGGUCCAGACCCCUACGGGAGGCAGCAGUGGGGAAUAUUGAACAAUGGGCGCAAUCCUGAUGCAGCCAUGCCGCGUGUAUUAAGAAGGCCUUCGGGUUUUAAAGUACUUUCAGCGGGGAGGCGUUACUCGCAGAAGAAGCACCGGCUAACUCCGUGCCAGCAGCCGCGGUAAUUC
rnacentral:rRNA from 1 species